AUUCAGCACCCAUAUCCUCGCACCCGGCGCUGCAGAAAGAACGCAAUUUGAUUUUUUUCUGUUUUGUAUCAUGGCAUUCACUACUAUUGUCUCUCUUUCUUCCUGUUCACCUCACAAAAACGAUUACGGCCUCUCUCAAGGACUCAGGCAUUUAAGCUGAGAGCUGCAUCAACUCCUACAAAGCAAUGAAGCUGCCGCCAACCUCCCAGUCAGAGUCAAGGCUCACACCAAGGCUCUCCCAAAAAUUCUCACUGCCACAGCUGAAGGCAUUGCCGUUCCCGGCUGUCUCUCCCACCUCCUCAUCAGGCAUGACUGCCCCUUAAAGCAGAGUUGAUAAAAAAAACCCAACUAUUUCCAGCCCUUACAAUUCACAGUUUUCAUGCACUAGUUUCUGAAGGUGAUGCUGAGAUUGUUUUUCAGACUGUGAGCUGUGCCAGUUGGGGCUGGUCCCUUAUUACACUCUCCUGUGCCAGGUGUGAGGAGGAAUAAAUAGGCGAUGGCACCUCAAACCACUGCAUCAAGCUCUUCUAGGGCUCAAACCUGCAGCAGGGACCAAGAGCGGGCAUUUGGAAAACAGUGCAAUCAAUGAAAACUAUUGGGUUUUCUCCUGGCUUCUGGCACUUACUGGAGCAAGUUUCUCCGGAGACAGGUGUGUAACACCAUUAGGUCCAAGCCUGAAAAAUUUAGGGGAAAGUUACAAGGUCAUUUGCUAGGUUGAUUUAGCAGCGACAUCAAUUCCUGCUGCAUGUGCCUGUGUCCCAUCCCCUUGCUUUAGCACCAGUAACUUCCACCUAUUCAAAGUGUCAGAUUCUCCUUACUGUUUCUGAAGCUGGAUGGAAACUGUGGUGCUGUGAUUCAAACAGGGGUGCAUGGAUGUGUCUUGUCUUAGCCCAGCCCCAUCAGGUGCCAUUGACCUGCACUGAGUGACUUCUAACCAUGGGUGUAUUGCACCCAUCGUGCAGGUGUGCUGUAGGGUUAUGACUCACCGUGACUCAACAUGAACUCAUAAAGCCACAUCAGCCCAGGUCUUCAUGUGAUUUAAAGAUUUCAAGUGGUAGAGGAUCUACAAUGUUCCUUAUUCCUGUGGACUUUGCAACACCACAGAAAAUAUUGUUCUUUGUUAUAGGAGCUGAAUAUUUGAGAGAGAGCAACAUGAAGACUAAAUACUCUCACAUAUUCCUGGUGUCAAAAAUUCUUGUGUGGCAAGGAAACAGCAGUACAUCUCCUGAUCUCCAGACAGCAUGGGAACAGCUGAAUCAUCCAGUCCUUCUGUCCUCUUGUUUGUCACAUACAGAAACGCCUUAUUGCUUCCUGCAUAUGAAGAAGUGUAUUUUUUAAGGUAAGAUCUGUUAUACAAACUGCCUUUCAGGAAUUCUUUUCUGGCUUCAAGAUACAAUGCGAGCACUGAAAUCCAAAUGAGGUUCAAAUUCACAUGUCAUCAAAUUUUAUUAAUUUCACUGGCUCUGCAGCCACAAGUCAUUUGAUUUCAUGCUGUGUGAAACUGCAAGAGAGAACAAUGAUCAGACUCCUAGCAUAGCUUCCCAUGGAGCAUUGGCAGUGGUCUCACAUAUUGACCUAAUUGCCUAGGAGGAUUUCUGUCAUGGUGAAGAAGGUUAAGUGGUGUGUUGAUUUCAGAGAGGAGACAAAUAUCUGCUGGGCAAGUACUAUGAGAAUAUCAAUUUAAUUUUCACUUUUAACUAUGCCACAUGGUUUGAUUACAAACGGCACAAUUUUCUCCUGCAUCUAGCACCUAAGUUUUAUGAUUUUUUCAUCUGCAAAGUGAAUUGCAAUUGUGUAUACCAAGCUUCUGGGAUACAUCUUAUCUUUCCUUAUUUUUCCUUGAAGAAAUUAUGUCCAAGGAUCUCUGACAUGUUGGAGAAGCUUAGCUUUAAAAAUAUAGUUAAGAAAAAUAUAUUACCAUCCUUUUCUUUGAUUUAUAGUUAUCCUAUGUGAUUGUGUUACAUGUAUAUGAAUAAUAUUUGCCUCUGAAGAUAAUGUAAUGUCAUAUUUUGAAGCUGAUAUUAUUUGUUCUCUGUCACAAAAAUCACACAGAUGGAUCCCACUUCCUUUAGGUCUACUGAAAGAAGCAAAAAAAGCUGUCUUGCACACAGGCAAGUCUGUUCUCUGUGAACAGUUACAGAAACUUCCCAAUGCACUUCCUCUGAAUCCAAGUCUUCCUUGAGUAAGUUUACACCAACUUGUUCUUACAGUUUCCUGCCUCCUUUUUUCACAAUGCAUCAUUCAAAAAAGCAAGGGUUUGCCACUUGGAGUGCAGCAUCACUAUGUAGUGUGUUUGGAAACAGCAUAUUACUCCAUUGUAAAGAGUUAAUUUCCACUUUGAUUUGAAUGGAAUCUUGUAAAACAAUAUUAGAUGACAUUAAAGUUGGCUUCUGCUGAUGUACAAAUUUGGCAAAAAUUAUGAGGCUGAGGAGGGGGCUGAUGAUUCCAGAAUUUGUGUAUCUAUUUCUGCUCUAAAAUCCAGAAAUAACUGUAAUUACAGUGUUAACAGGAAACAGAAAUUGGAGUUUUAUUUUUUUCUUCAAACAAUCAGUUGUUUCACAGACCAAGCAAGGUAAGUCAGUGUUAACUAAUUACUGUUACCUAGUUAACAGUGUUAACAAACAACUCACAAAGGUUCAGUAUUAACCACUUCUCAUAUUAGCAAAUAGUCAUCAAUAAAGACUUGGUAUGUUGAUUAACUGGUUACUGCAGAUCAAAAUGUUUCCAUCACAGAGGCAAGCAGAAGGCUUGAGACUAGUAUCUCAUACCAGAAGAAAUGAAGGCAUUGUUUUGUUUACUCACUUUCUAAGGAGUACAUAUCCUUUAUUUCAUUACUGGGAAAUAGAGCUUGUAUGUGUUCCCAAGCUAAAACUGACUGCACAGGCUAUUUUUCUCACAGGUCAGAUGUGAGGAAACAGAACCAUUUCGCUUCCUUCAUAAUCUCUAUAUAAAGAGAAGAGGAAAAUGGAGCCAGACCUAUUGUUCUUACAGUUUCCUGCAUCCUUUUCCACUAUGCCUCAUUCAGAGAAAAAAUGGUUUGCCACUUUGAGUGCAUCAUUUAGAUUUAGUGUAUUUGUGUAUCUAAUAAUAUAUAUAUAUGCCUUUUCCAGUAUAUUGACAAUAUCAGAAAAACCCUUAUUGAUAAAAAGGUUUUAUAUGAAAAGUAGCUUCUGAGUAUGUGGGAGGGGGUUCAUAUAAAAUAUUGUAGCUCCGCAUUAAAACUGUUCUCUUUCUUUCAAGUUAUUAAGAUUAAACUACACAAAUAAAUAAUCUGACCAAAAAAAUCUCAAUAAACUAUUUUUGGGUUUCCUUUUCUCAGCUGUUUUUCCUAGGUCUUCAGUCAGUUGAGUGGCUAGAGUACUAUGAUCAAAUAUAAACAAGAGAAAUGUUUGAGUUAUAGAAUCACAGAAUCAUUUAGGUUGAAAAAGACCUCUAAGUUCAUCAAGUCCAUCAUUACAAAACACAUUUGGUGCACUCUUGGCCGCUGUAGUCCCAGGCUUUUUGCCAGGACUGCAACAACAUUUAUUGAAAUGGACUGGCAAGUGGGACAAGAAAUUUCUGUUCUCAGUCAUCAGUGAGCUGUAGGUGGAGAUGUGGAAGCAAGCAUGAGCCCACUGUGUGCUCCUGGCAAGCCCUGCUUUGCUCUCCAGUCCUUAGCCAGGUAGCAGCAGUGCUUAGGUUCUUACAAAGAAUCAGCAUUGCCUUCUAUCACAAUUGGGUUUUGGACUACUGGGGAGUACAGAAGAGAUUAGAAUUCAGGACACAGCCCUUCAGUCAGAGAGGGGACUGUACAUUCUAAUGGUUUCCUGAAUAAAUUAUUUUUUAUAAGAGUCAAAUUGCUCUUAGCCUGAAAGAAAAGGCACAUGGGAAGAGUAAUGUUGCAAAGUGCUGUUUUUCUGCACCUUUCAUUUCAUAUUCCAGUAUAAGAGAGAUAUGUGCUUCAUGCACUCAAGAGUAUUCUCUCUCCUCUGUCAAAGACACAAAUCCUGGAAAAUUACUUUGGCAGAAAGCACACACAAGUUGACAGUUCCAUGAGAAAAUGUGUGGAUAGCAAAAGAUGCAAUCAUCUCUCUGUAUUUAUGCACAUAUACCCAAUCCAUCCUGCCAGUCUAUAACACACUCAUUUUAUGAUUAAUUUAAAGAACUGUAAAUCGGAACCUUUUUUUUCCCUAAAGGAACAGGGAGAAAUACAGAACUUGGCAAUGAUUCCACUUAAAUUCAGAAAGUUGUAGCACUAUGUGAGCUUAGCCCAAAUUCUACCAAAUAUAGACCCACUAAAAUGACUGGAACAGAACAUGAUGUUUCAAAAAUAAAGAAAUUAUAUAUUUAUUUAGAACAUUUAAAUGCGUGUUAAUUAAGUGUAUUUCCACUCUGCUCAAAUUAUGGGCUUAGUUCAAAUAACUUCUAUUGAUUUUACAUUACAGGACUGUCAUUAGCAUUUGCCAACUGAGUCAAGUUCCAAUGGUAAUAGCUUUUCUUCAGGAAUUAUUUAUACACUGACAGGAAAACUACAUCCUUCUUCUCUAUCAUCUUGAGACUCUCAAUGAAAAAAGAAGAAGUUUCAGUUCUGUGUAUAUUUUAUAUAUCUUACUGUUAAAUUAAAAAAAUGGGGCCUGUGAAUGGUUUCUCUGAAUAAAAAUGGUAAAACAAUGAAAAUGCUACUGUAUUUUGAAAUCAAGUUCUGCUGUCAAAUAUUCUGACCUAAGUACAGAGUAAUGCUCCUCAAAG